rnacentral:rRNA from 1 species
GACGAACGCUGGCGGCGUGCUUAACACAUGCAAGUCGAACGGUGAAGCUCCAGCUUGCUGGAGUGGAUCAGUGGCGAACGGGUGAGUAACACGUGAGCAACCUGCCCCUGACUCUGGAAUAAGCGCUGGAAACGGCGUCUAAUACUGGAUACGAGAAGGGUCCGCAUGGGCACUUUCUGGAAAGUUCUUCGGUUGGGGAUGGGCUCGCGGCCUAUCAGCUUGUUGGUGAGGUAAUGGCUCACCAAGGCGACGACAGGUAGCCGGCCUGAGAGGGCGACCGGCCACACUGGGACUGAGACACGGCCCAGACUCCUACGGGAGGCAGCAGUGGGGAAUAUUGCACAAUGGGCGAAAGCCUGAUGCAGCGACGCCGCGUGAGGGAUGACGGCCUUCGGGUUGUAAACCUCUUUCAGCAGGGAAGAAGCGAAAGUGACGGUACCUGCAGAAGAAGCACCGGCUAACUACGUG